rnacentral:rRNA from 1 species
AGUGGCGAACGGGUGAGUAAUACAUCGGAACGUGCCCUGUAGUGGGGGAUAACUAGUCGAAAGAUUAGCUAAUACCGCAUACGACCUGAGGGUGAAAGUGGGGGACCGCAAGGCCUCAUGCUAUAGGAGCGGCCGAUGUCUGAUUAGCUAGUUGGUGAGGUAAAGGCUCACCAAGGCGACGAUCAGUAGCUGGUCUGAGGGGACGAUCAGCCACACUGGGACUGAGACACGGCCCAGACUCCUACGGGAGGCAGCAGUGGGGAAUUUUGGACAAUGGGCGAAAGCCUGAUCCAGCAAUGCCGCGUGUGUGAAGAAGGCCUUCGGGUUGUAAAGCACUUUUGUCCGGAAAGAGAUGGCUCUGGUUAAUACCUGGGGUCGAUGACGGUACCGGAAGAAUAAGGACCGGCUAACUACGUGCCAGCAGCCGCGGUAAUACGUAGGGUCCAAGCGUUAAUCGGAAUUACUGGGCGUAAAGCGUGCGCAGGCGGUUGUGCAAGACCGAUGUGAAAUCCCCGAGCUUAACUUGGGAAUUGCAUUGGUGACUGCACGGCUAGAGUGUGUCAGAGGGGGGUAGAAUUCCACGUGUAGCAGUGAAAUGCGUAGAGAUGUGGAGGAAUACCGAUGGCGAAGGCAGCCCCCUGGGAUAACACUGACGCUCAUGCACGAAAGCGUG